rnacentral:rRNA from 1 species
CCUACGGGGGGCAGCAGUGGGGAAUAUUGGGCAAUGGGCGCAAGCCUGACCCAGCAACGCCGCGUGAAGGAAGAAGGCCUUCGGGUUGUAAACUUCUUUUCUCAGGGACGAAGCAAGUGACGGUACCUGAGGAAUAAGCCACGGCUAACUACGUGCCAGCAGCCGCGGUAAUACGUAGGGGGCAAGCGUUAUCCGGAUUUACUGGGUGUAAAGGGCGUGUAGGCGGGACUGGAAGUCAGUUGUGAAAGCCACGGGCUCAACCUGUGGCCUGCAUUUGAAACUGUAGUGCUUGAGUACUGGAGAGGCAGGCGGAAUUCCUGGUGUAGCGGUGAAAUGCGUAGAUAUUAGGAGGAACACCGGUGGCGAAGGCGGUCUGCUGGACAGCAACUGACGCUGAGGCGCGAAAGCGUGGGGAGCAAACAGGAUUAGAUACCCGAGUAGUC